CCUACGGGAGGCAGCAGUGGGGAAUAUUGGACAAUGGGCGCAAGCCUGAUCCAGCAAUGCCGCGUGAGUGAUGAAGGCCUUAGGGUCGUAAAGCUCUUUUACCAGGGAUGAUAAUGACAGUACCUGGAGAAUAAGCUCCGGCUAACUCCGUGCCAGCAGCCGCGGUAAUACGGAGGGAGCUAGCGUUGUUCGGAAUUACUGGGCGUAAAGCGUACGUAGGCGGUUAUUCAAGUCAGAGGUGAAAGCCCGGGGCUCAACCCCGGAACGGCCUUUGAAACUAGGUAGCUAGAAUCUUGGAGAGGUCAGUGGAAUUCCGAGUGUAGAGGUGAAAUUCGUAGAUAUUCGGAAGAACACCAGUGGCGAAGGCGACUGACUGGACAAGUAUUGACGCUGAGGUACGAAAGCGUGGGGAGCAAACAGGAUUAGAUACCCUGGUAGUCCACGCCGUAAACGAUGAUAACUAGCUGUCCGGGCACUUGGUGCCUGGGUGGCGCAGCUAACGCAUUAAGUUAUCCGCCUGGGGAGUACGGUCGCAAGNUUAAAACUCAAAGUGAAUUGAACGGCUGAGACGUGCGACGACGACGACGAGGAGGAGG
rnacentral:rRNA from 1 species